GUCGGAAUGGCGGAACUGGUAGACGCGCACGUUUCAGGUGCGUGUGGGAGCAAUCCUGUGCAGGUUCGAUCCCUGUUUCCGGUACAA
rnacentral:tRNA from 1 species